GACAGAGGGUGCAAACGUUGUUCGGAAUUACUGGGCGUAAAGCGCGUGUAGGCUGCUUCACAAGUCGGAUGUGAAAGCCCUGGGCUCAACCCAGGAAGUGCAUUCGAAACUGCAAGCUGGAGCCUGGAGAGGAAGGCGGAAUUCUCGGUGUAGAGGUGAAAUUCGUAGAUAUCGAGAGGAACACCGGUGGCGAAGGCGGCCUUCUGGACAGUGACUGGACGGCUGAGACGGCGAAAGCGUGGGGAGCAAACAGG
rnacentral:rRNA from 1 species